rnacentral:snoRNA from 1 species
UGGAAGUGAUGAAAUAGAGAUAAUUGGAUGUGUCUUUGAAUGGAGUGUGUGUGAUGAAUGGAAUUUAAACCAAGUCAGACUGGGGGUGGGGGAUGGGGAGUGAGUGUGCAUGUGCAGGCAGGGCUUGAAACGGGGGCGCUGACAAUGCCGUGCUGAUUCCGGAGUGCAUCUGAGGCGUGUUGUUAAGUUCUGGGGUGCCAAUUCACAACACUGCCGAUGAUUAAAGCCCAGAACAAGCCCACCGAGACAAGCCAAAGCAUCCUAAAUCUCUAACAGGUUCAUUAAUGGAAGUGAUCCUGUGAUCUGAUCCGA